rnacentral:lncRNA from 1 species
CUAAAAUGAGAAAUUAACAGAGCAUCCUUUCUCAAGGAUUAAAAACAUCCAGAAGAUUAAAAAUAGCCUGAGGCUUAAAAACUUCCUCACCUGCUUGACUGAUGCUUUUCCUGAGAUGAGUGGCUCUUAAUUGAACACAGGAAUUAAGAUGUGGGCAUAAUGAUGCUGUGAUAACCCUCCUGAUUUUUAUGUCAGCCAAGGUUACUACCAAGCUGUAGGAGCUCACUGAAUAAACCACUGAACACUGGGAAUUCUCCCA